rnacentral:rRNA from 1 species
GAUGAACGCUGGCGGCGUGCUUAACACAUGCAAGUCGAACGGGAUCCCAGGAGCUUGCUCCUGGGUGAGAGUGGCGAACGGGUGAGUAAUGCGUGACCGACCUGCCCCAUACACCGGAAUAGCUCCUGGAAACGGGUGGUAAUGCCGGAUGCUCCAGUUGGAUGCAUGUCCUUCUGGGAAAGAUUCAUCGGUAUGGGAUGGGGUCGCGUCCUAUCAGCCUGAUGGCGGGGUAACGGCCCACCAUGGCUUCGACGGGUAGCCGGCCUGAGAGGGCGACCGGCCACAUUGGGACUGAGAUACGGCCCAGACUCCUACGGGAGGCAGCAGUGGGGAAUAUUGCACAAUGGGCGCAAGCCUGAUGCAGCGACGCCGCGUGCGGGAUGACGGCCUUCGGGUUGUAAACCGCUUUUGACUGGGAGCAAGCCCUUCGGGGUGAGUGUACCUUUCGAAUAAGCACCGG